rnacentral:rRNA from 1 species
UGGGGAAUAUUGGACAAUGGGCGCAAGCCUGAUCCAGCGACGCCGCGUGGGGGAUGAAGGUCUUCGGAUUGUAAACCCCUUUCGGGAGGGAAGAUGGAAUGGGGUAACCCAUUCGGACGGUACCCACAGAAGAAGCCCCGGCCAACUACGUGCCAGCAGCCGCGGUAACACGUAGGGGGCAAGCGUUGUCCGGAUUCAUUGGGCGUAAAGAGCUCGUAGGCGGUUCGAUAAGUCGGGUGUGAAACCUCCAGGCUCAACCUGGAGACGCCACCCGAUACUGUUGUGACUAGAGUCCAGUAGGGGAGCGUGGAAUUCCUGGUGUAGCGGUGAAAUGCGCAGAUAUCAGGAGGAACACCAGCGGCGAAGGCGGCGCUCUGGGCUGGAACUGACGCUGAGGAGCGAAAGCGUGGGGAGCGAACAGGAUUAGAUACCCUGGUAGUCCCUGAGCGGGCUGGCAAGGCGCAU